GUUUAGAAAAUUUGGUUGUAAAAAAUAGCCUCAGUUUUUGAGUUCAAAGUAAAGUGCAUCUUCAGCAAGAUCAGAUGAUGAAAUAAAUUAAAUCAGCAGUGAAGGUCAGUAUACAUUCUGACUUGGGAAUGUGAACUUUUCAGAAACCUGUAUUUAUUACAUUUUACUAUUUUUAAAAGCCAGCUGCGAGAUUCAUAGCAAGAAAUGGUGCGACAUACCAGUGAAUGCUGACCCGAAGUGAAGGCUCUUUUCAAAAUGGUUAAUACGCCUGAUUGGCAAGUCAUCCCUGGCGCCUGUGUCAUUGUUACAGCACAGCUUUAAAAUAUAUGGAUUUAAAACGCAAGUAUCGUGACUAAUAUUUAUUUCAAGUACAGAAUGUGUCACAGCAGUGGGCCAUCCUAUUAUUAAUGCAGUAAACUGUGUAAUACUCUAUAAGAGCCAGCCCUGC
rnacentral:lncRNA from 1 species